AUUAAAAAUAAUAGUGUGUGUUUGAAACACAGAUAUUAUCUUCAAUGUAUAGAAGAUAAUAAACGUUCCACAGAAAUUCAAGUUGAUCGCAAACGAACACGUGAAUAGUAAGUCUUAUGACGAUGCAUUGGUUUGCCUUGGCUGUGAUGACAUGCCUACUACUGACGAUACUAAGUAUGGGCAUAUAUAAUUUCCGUUUAUUUUUAGAAAUACGUGAACUUAAAAGGCCAGGAUAACGAAAAUUUAGACAGUGUACGUGCCAAUUUUUAUACGCCGUCCGGUCCGUCGACCCGGAUUUCAAUUUUUAAUCGUUUAUUUUAUU